rnacentral:rRNA from 1 species
CCCUUAGAUGUUCUGGGCCGCACGCGCGCUACACUGUUCGACGCAGCGAGUCUUAACCUUGACCGAAAGGUUUGGGUAAUCUUCAGCAAAGUCGAACGUGAUGGGGAUCGAUCAUUGCAAUUAUUGAUCGUGAACGAGGAAUUCCUAGUAAGUGCAAGUCAUCAGCUUGCGCUGAUUACGUCCCUGCCCUUUGUACACACCGCCAGUCGCUACUACCGAUUGAAUGGUUUAGUGAGAUCUCUGGAUUGACGCUGGCUAGGGGGCGACCCUUGGCCAGGCUGUCGAGAAACUGCUCAAACUUGAUCAUUUAGAGGAAGUAAAAGUCGUAACA